rnacentral:rRNA from 1 species
UACGUAGGGCGCAAGCGUUGUCCGGAAUUAUUGGGCGUAAAGAGCUCGUAGGCGGUUUGUCGCGUCUGUCGUGAAAGCUUGGGGCUUAACCCCAAGUCUGCGGUGGAUACGGGCAGACUAGAGGCAGGUAGGGGAGAACGGAAUUCCCGGUGUAGCGGCGAAAUGCGCAGAUAUCAGGAGGAACACCGGUGGCGAAGGCGGUUCUCUGGGCAUUACCUGACGCUGAGGAGCGAAAGUGUGGGGAGCGAACAGG